rnacentral:rRNA from 1 species
UACGAAGGGGGCUAGCGUUGCUCGGAAUUACUGGGCGUAAAGCGCACGUAGGCGGCUUCUUAAGUCGGUGGUGAAAUCCUGGAGCUCAACUCCAGAACUGCCUUCGAUACUGGGAAGCUCGAGUCCGGGAGAGGUGAGUGGAACUGCGAGUGUAGAGGUGAAAUUCGUAGAUAUUCGCAAGAACACCAGUGGCGAAGGCGGCUCACUGGCCCGGUACUGACGCUGAGGUGCGAAAGCGUAGGGAGCAAACAGG